AUAACGGUGCCGGUCCUUUUCAAGGUCUGGUAACUGGAAUGAGUACAAUUUAAAUCCCUUAACGAGGAUCCACUGGAGGGCAAGUCUGGUGCCAGCAGCCGCGGUAACACCAGCUCCAAUAGCGUAUAUUAAAGUUGUUGCAGUUAAAAAGCUCGUAGUUGGAUAUCUGGGGCGGAUGCCUGGCCUGCUUCCUUCGGGAAUGUGUGCGCCGGCUGCAACCGUCCCAUCCUUCUGAGAAGUGCAUCUAAACUUCACCGUUCGGGUGUAACGACUCGGAUCUUUUACUUUGAAAAAAUUAGAGUGUUCAAAGCAGGCGUUUGCUUGAAUACAUUAGCAUGGAAUAAUGAAAUAGGACUCCGGUUUUAUUUUGUUGGUUUAUAGGACCGAAGUAAUGAUUAAUAGGGACAGUUGGGGGUGCUUGUAUUGGGCGGCCAGAGGUGAAAUUCUUGGAUUCGCUCAAGACAAACUUAUGCGAAAGCAUUCACCAAGGAUGUCUUCUUUAAUCAAGAACGAAAGUUGGGGGAUCGAAGACGAUCAGAUACCGUCGUAGUCUCAACCAUAAACUAUGCCAACUAGGGAUCAGUGGGGGCUUUCGUACUCCAUUGGCACCUUACGAGAAAUCAAAGUCUUUGGGUUCCGGGGGGAGUCUGGUCGCAAGGCUGAAACUUAAAGGAAUUGACGGAAGGGCACCACAACGGCGUGGAGCCUGCGGCUUAAUUUGACCCAACACGGGAAAACUUACCAGGUCCGGACAUAGGAAGGAUUGACAGAUUGCAGAUCUUUCUUGAUUCUAUGGAUGGUGGUGCAUGGCCGUUCUUAGUUGGUGGAGUGAUUUGUCUGGUUAAUUCCGUUAACGAACGAGACCUCAGCCUACUAAAUAGUCAAGUGAAUAUUUUAUUCUCUGUGACUUCUUAGAGGGACUGUCCAUUUCUAGUGGACGGAAGUUUGAGGCAAUAACAGGUCUGUGAUGCCCUUAGAUGUCCUGGGCUGCACGCGCGCUACACUGUUGCAGGCAACGAGCAUUUUCCUUGACUGAAAGGUCUGGGUAAUCUUUGAAACUGCAACGUGCUGGGGCUAGAUUAUUGCAAUUAUUAGUCUUUAACCAGGAAUGCCUAGUAAACGCGAGUCAUCAGCUCGCAUUGAUUACGUCCCUGCCCUUUGUACACACCGCCCGUCGCUCCUACCGAUUGAAUGAUCCGGUAAAAUCUAUGGACUGGACUCUUUAGGUUGGCAACAGCCUAUUUUGUUCGGGAAGUUGAUUGAAC
rnacentral:rRNA from 1 species